AAUUCAGACAAGCUGCAUUUCAGAAAUGCUGUCAUAAUGGUUUUUAACACCUUUUACUCUUCUUACUGGUGCUAUUUUGUAGAAUAAGGAACAACGUUGACAAGUUUUGUGGGGCUUUUUAUACACUUUUUAAAAUCUCAAACUUCUAUUUUUAUGUUUAACGUUUUCAUUAAAAUUUUUUUUGUAACUGGAGCCACGACGUAACAAAUAUGGGGAAAAAACUGUGCCUUGUUUCAACAGUUUUUGCUAAUUUUUAGGCUGAAAGAUGACGGAUGCCUAGAGUUUACCUUAUGUUUAAUUAAAAUCAGUAUUUGUCUAU
rnacentral:lncRNA from 1 species